CGUGAUCCGGGUUGCGGACAGUGUCUGGUGGGUAGUUUGACUGGGGCGGUCUCCUCCUAAAGAGUAACGGAGGAGCACGAAGGUUGGCUAAUCCUGGUCGGACAUCAGGAGGUUAGUGCAAUGGCAUAAGCCAGCUUGACUGCGAGCGUGACGGCGCGAGCAGGUGCGAAAGCAGGUCAUAGUGAUCCGGUGGUUCUGAAUGGAAGGGCCAUCGCUCAACGGAUAAAAGGUACUCCGGGGAUAACAGGCUGAUACCGCCCAAGAGUUCAUAUCGACGGCGGUGUUUGGCACCUCGAUGUCGGCUCAUCACAUCCUGGGGCUGAAGUAGGUCCCAAGGGUAUGGCUGUUCGCCAUUUAAAGUGGUACGCGAGCUGGGUUUAGAACGUCGUGAGACAGUUCGGUCCCUAUCUGCCGUGGGCGCUGGAGAACUGAGGGGGGCUGCUCCUAGUACGAGAGGACCGGAGUGGACGCAUCACUGGUGUUCGGG
rnacentral:rRNA from 1 species